rnacentral:rRNA from 1 species
GAGAUGGUCGCCCCCUUGUGGUCGGUGUACAGGUGGUGCAUGGCUGUCGUCAGCUCGUGUCGUGAGAUGUUGGGUUAAGUCUCGCAACGAGCGCAACCCUUGUCCCGUGUUGCCAGCAGGCCCUUGUGGUGCUGGGGACUCACGGGAGACCSCCGGGGUCAACUCGGAGGAAGGUGGGGACGACGUCAAGUCAUCAUGCCCCUUAUGUCUUGGGCUGCACACGUGCUACAAUGGCCGGUACAAUGAGCUGCGAUCCCGUGAGGUGGAGCGAAUCUCAAAAAGCCGGUCUCAGUUCGGAUUGGGGUCUGCAACUCGACCCCAUGAAGUCGGAGUCGCUAGUAAUCGCAGAUCAGCAUUGCUGCGGUGAAUGCGUUCCCGGGCCUUGUACACACCGCCCGUCACGUCACAAAUCGGUAACACCCGAAGCCGGUGUACCAACCCCUUGUGGGAGGGAGCUGUACG